rnacentral:lncRNA from 1 species
UAUAAUAUUUUAUAUCUCAUUUAACAAAGGUCAUUAGGUCAGCAGCUCAAUAGCAGCUCUUCACCUUCAAAGCUUAGUCAUAGUUAGGUUUUACUCCUUAGUAAUUAGAGUAUAUAUUAAGCCCGUCUUUUCUAUUUUAGCUCAAAUCAUCAUCAACUCAUCUUAAUCUGGUAAGUAAUUUCUAUUAUCUUGUUUUUAGAUAUUUUUCUUGUAUUGUUAUUGUCAACAACAUCUCAAUUUUGGGUUGUUGAAUAAUAGAUAUAGACCUUAAAAUUAUACAUCUUGGUGUCCAUGUCUAUGGUGUGUAAAGCUUAGCAUGAUGAUAAUGUUUUUGUAUAUAAUAAAUUUUACUUAGUGAUAUCUUUACUUAUGUUGUUUCAAUGCAAUGAAAAAUGGGUAAGUGUUCAACUCAUUGCUUUGGAUUCCAUUUGUUAGAGGUUUUUGUACAGUAAACAUCGUAACGCUCCGCAGAGAUACUGAAAAACAAGUGAUAAAAAUAAAAAUAUAAGAGACUAUUAGAUUUUAAUAGCAGUAGCCAGUAAUAUAUACCAAACUUUUCUAACCAAAUAUUUUGUACUAUAUAUGGAUCUAUUUUUGGUUUUAAAGUGAAAUAUACUUCUAAGACUUGUUCACAAUGCUUGAAUGGAAGUCUUGUUGAAACACAAUCUUGUAUCAGAUUACUAAUAACUAUUGUUAUGUAUGUGCAACAACUUCCUUUUUGGAUGGAAACUACACCUUCUGUAACGGAUGUAGAGAAGAUAAUUAAUAUUCCUUCAAUUAUGUUGACAAUAUCUCAACACGAAGGUAAAGUAACUCCACGUCAAUGCACACCUCCUAAGAAGCAAAAAAGAGCAGCUCCUCUGAUCGUUUGUAAAUCUGGAAUUACAGGUAGAGAAACAUCUCAAAUUUGGGAUCAUUUCUCUAAGUUUAUUGCUAGAGGAGGUAAAUGUAGGGCAAAAUGUAAUUAUUGUACUAAAACAUUUGCUGCUGAUAGUGUCAACGAGAUGAAUACAUUAUGGAAUCAUUUGACUGUGAAAUGUCACAAGUAUCCAUUUAAGUCCGACAAGAGACAAACAACAUUAAAACCUAUCAAAAGAGGUUGGCUAGAAGGUGUUUCAACUGAAAAAAGGGUGUUUAAUAUGGAUGAAAUUAAGAGAGCAAUUGUUAAAUUUGUAAUUAUUGAUGAAUAGUUGUUUACAACUAUUGAGGGAGAAGGAUUAAAAAAAUUAAUGGCUAAAGCCUUUCCCGAUUUUGAAGUACCUUCUUGUGUAACUAUUGCUCGACAUUGUCAAAUAAAAUAUCAAGAGGAGAAAGAAAAUCUUAAGGAGCUUAUAAAAAACCAACGUAUUUGUCUUACCAGUGAUACAAGGACGUCAAUCCAAAAUUAUACUUAUAUGGUUAUCACUGCACAUUGGAUUGAUCAUCAAUAGAAUCUACAAAAGAGAAUUCUUAAUUUUUUUCAAACACCAGAUCACAAAGGUGAGACCAUUGCCAAGGGGAUUGAGGAGUGCUUAUUAGGUUGGGGCAUUGAGAACUUGUUUAAAGUGCCCUUGGAAAUGCAACUGCAAAUGACGAUGCCAUUAAGAGUUUAAAGGAGCAUAUUGAAGAUUGGAAAGGGGUAACGUUUGAAAAUAAGUAUUUACAUGUUAGAUGUAAUGCUCAUAAAAAAAGGGUUGGAUGAACAAAUUGAUCUUAUUUCUCAUAUAAGAAGUGCUAUAAAAAAUGUUAGGCCUUCUUCUUCAAGAUCAGCUACUUUUAAGUUCUUUGUUGAGAAAGUUAAGAUGGACACUUGUGGUCUUGUAUAUCUGGAUGCUGAGACUAGAUGGAACUCGACAUACACAAUGUUGGAUAAAGCUUUGAAAUUUGAAAACACUUUUACAAGAAUGUGUGUGGAUGAUCGAAUUUAUCAAAAUCAAUGUCGAGAAAUAAGUACACCACCAAAAAAUUCAUAAAUAGAUGAUUGGAAGAAUGUGAAAGCUUUUGUGAAGUUUCUUAAUAUUUUCUAUCAGGCAACUUCAAAAUUUUCGGGCAGUUUAAAUUUUACUUCCCACUCUUUCUUUCAUGAUUUUUUCAAUCUCCAAAAUGACAUUAUCAAGUAUCCUAAACAUGAUGAUCUCAUUUUGGUUGAUAUGACAACAAAAAUGAAAUCCAAGAUGGAUAAAUAUUGGGGUAAGUUUGAGAGUAUGAAUAUGUUACUAAUAGUUGUUGUUGUGCUGGAUCCUAGAUACAAGAUGCAAUAUGCAUAGUAUAUUCUUUCUAUUUCAUAGGCUCUUUGAUGGGAAGAAUAAUGUCUGAAGAUGUGAGAGAUGUUUUGAAACUCUUAUAUAAUCACUACAAUUGUUCUUGAUUCGAAGAUCCUAACAAAAAUAUUGAAAAUGAUAAUUGUGUGAUGGGUGAAUCUAGUGCUUUGUUGCAAUCUCAGUGGGAGAAGCACAUGAAAAAAAGAGGGAUUUGUCGUAAAAAAAUCUAAUUUGGACAUAUACUUGAAAGAUAAUAUAGUAAAGAUCAACGAUUUUAAUAUUUUGAGUUGGUGGAAAGUUUCGUACAACAGAUAUUCAGUUGUUGCCAAAGUUGCUAGGGAUAUCCUUUCUAUUCUUAUUUCUAUUGUUGCAUCUGAGUCACUUUUAGUACAGGUGAUCGAAUUCUUGAUAGUUAUCGAAGUUCUUUUAUCUUCAAAUACGGUAAAAGCGCUUAUCUGCACUCAACAUUUGCUACGAUCGCCUUUUAAAGAGUGCAAGCUUGAAGAUAUUUUAGAGGAAGUCUAGAAAAUUGAGAAAAUUGAAGAAGGUAACUGUAUAUAUUCAAAUUGUUAUUAAAAACUAUUCUGCUUUUGAAUUUUAUUUAGUAUUCAAGUUCUUUCAAUUCUUUCAGAAUAUCCGACUCAUCUUUGAGGAUUGAUUAGCCAGUUGAUGUACUUAAACUUAACAACAUGGAACAAAUGUAUUAAUUCAUUCUUUUGUGAUUGUUAAAUAUCAAAUUACUGUUUGCUCUAAAUAGUAAUAGAACUAAGGACUAAACGUCAACUUAGUUAAUGCAUUACUAAUCAACUUAUUAAUUUAUAUUGUCUACUUUGCAGAUGCAUGCUAUAGUUUUUCAAAAAUAUGAUUUUUUGGUUUUUGUAAGCAAUGAUGUUGUAGAAUUUAACGAUGUGAAUGUAAACAACCCUACUAACUUUGACGACAAUAAUUUGACUAUGCAAAUUAUUUAUGCCUCUAUGUUACUUUCGUGAGUUUCUCUAAUGUACUAGUCUACUAGAUAGUUGUAUAAUGAAUCACUCUUGAUUACUGAUACUAUUUUAUGAUUUGUUCAAAACAGUAAUAGUAAUUUUGAGAAGUUGUAUUUUAGAUAUAAUGGAGAAUUGCCUAUUGAACUUAUAGGCUUGCAAUGCAAAAUAAACUACUAAUUGCUUUUUUUUGGGAUGAAAAAUCAUGUGAGUGUUCACCGUUUUCUUUAAAUCACUAAAAGAACACAUGCUCUUUAAUCUUUAUAAAAAAAACUCGAGAAAAUUGAAUAACUCGAAAAAAUUUGAGAUUGAAAAAAUCUGACUAUUAUUGGUUUGGUUUGGUUUGUAUAUUUUUUAACUUGAUACAAAUGGGUUGGUUUGAUUUUUAAAAAAUCCAAACCGAUCCGGUAAUGUACACCCCUAGUUUAAACGUAUGCAAAAGAGGUAUGUGAACACUCCAUUUGGGAGAUGUGAGAGGUUGGUUGUACUAGGAAUUAGGUAAUGAAGGUGUAUGCACAAAAAAAAUGCAGACGUAGGACACGGGGGUGAUAAGACAAGACUUAACUCAACUUCAAUUUAUUAAGAACAUGAACCUAAAUAAGAAGUCAUAGAGAAGUUUGAGACAAUGACCAACCCCUUAUUUACUCUUCGUACUACUUGCAAUCGUGCUUCAAUAAGAAAUAACCACUUUAAAGAUAACGAUAAGAUCAACGUAUCAAUGAGUAAUACAUUUCUUGUUGGGCGAUGCACUAUAUUUUUGACUGGGAAACUUACAUAAAUAUACUAUAUUAAGAAAAUAUUUACCAUCACUUUUAAUACAUAUUAUAAAGAAUAAUUUAUUAUUCACAUAUAAUACAAGUUUUAUUGAUGAUUAAUACAUUUACGACACAUUUUAAUUUAAUACACUUAUAAUACAAUGUGUCAAUUUCUUACCAAACAAGC